UAUUGCUAUGUUUUCUCCAGGUUAUUUUGAAUGGACAGCUUUGUCGCUGAUAAGCUAACUGACUGGCGGCUGUCUGAGCUGACAGAGAAUUUUAGAGGCCAUCCACAAACAUAAAAGAGGCCCUGGCGCUAUCAUUGGUUCAGACAUUCCCUGAAUGAUGGAUCAGAAAUUGGCUAUUUCCAGAGACUCCAGAAUGAAAACCAAGCUCUGAGGGAGGAGAACCACACCAUGAGGGAAAGCAAUGCACGAGCAGCUUCGGAUGACAGCGGCUCACUUCAAGAGCAGGUGAAGCAAGUUGGGACAAUGUUGAAGACGUUUGCUUGCACUUGGCAAUCAGGUGCAGAUCAGACCCUAAUGCUGCGACGUCUUGGAGAGUUUGGCGAUGUUGUGCGUAGCAUGGACAACAAAAUGGAAACUAUGCAGCAACAUUUCAGUGCCAAUGUGUCUGUUGGAGAGCCACUGAUGAGGCGGUCCAGGUUAACGUUACGCGUUAGCUGAAAGGAGCAUCUGACCGUGAAGGCGGAAAAAGGCGCCGCACAGCUGAGAGGGACCCACAGCUGACCCCUUAAACCUAGGCUGACUACUGACACCCCCUUAUCACUGACAACUGGAACACUUUCUUUAUCCUGCAGUCAGUAACAUCAAGAAGCCAGAAGUGCCAGACUACA